rnacentral:tRNA from 1 species
GGUGGCGCAGUGGUAGAGCACUUGCCUUGCAUGCAUGAGGCCCUGGGUUCAAUUCCUCAGCACCA